UCUACCUACGGGGCGCAGCAGUGGGGGAUAUUACACAAUGGGGGGAACCCUGAUGCAGCGACGCCGCGUGGGUGAAGAAGCGCCUCGGCGCGUAAAGCCCUGUCAGCAGGGAAGAAAAUGACGGUACCUGAAGAAGAAGCCCCGGCUAACUACGUGCCAGCAGCCGCGGUAAUACGUAGGGGGCAAGCGUUAUCCGGAUUUACUGGGGGUAAAGGGGGCGCAAACGGCGAUGCAAGCCAGGAGUGAAAGCCCG
rnacentral:rRNA from 1 species